CUUUGGCGAAAGCCAUCAGCCAAAAAGUAACAAUUACAAAGUAACAAUAUAAAAUUACAAGACAAAUUACAAAAAUUAUUAUAGUUAUAAAUUAAUUAUAAUAUACUAAGAAAGUAAGUUAAGUAGAAAAGUAUAAGUUACAAUUACAUAUUUAAAUUUCACCAAUUGAUGAAAAAUUUCUUGGUACAAAAUGGUAUGUUUUAGUAGAUCCUGCACUGAAGUAGGAAUAUUUUGACAUUUUAUUAAAUCUUGACAUUGACAAAUAAAAAGUAACCGUUGAAGUGAGAAUUUAGGACAAACAAAAAAAAAUAUGAUCCAAAUUAGAAAAAAUGUUUUGGCAGUAUUUACAGAUAGAAUUAUCCAAUAAAUUAAUACGUUGCAAAUGUGCAGGAAAUUUACAAUGACCUAUCUGCAAUCUACUUAAUAUAGUAUAACCAGACAAUUUACAGAUUUUGUUAGAAUCAAGCCAAGUUUCAUUUAGUAAAAUGAUAUCAAAAUGUGAUGAUCUAUAAUCAUGGGCACCGGCACAUAUGGAACAAACUUGCUUACUUCUGCAGGAACUGCUUCCAUGACCAAAUUUGUAACAAGUGAAGCAUUGGAGUAGAGGUCUAAUGAAUUCACGCACAUCCAGCCAAAUAUGAUCAUACGUUACGUGAUCAGGUCGCUGCGUAGAGAGGAAAGUUACUAAAACUGUAGGAAGAGGAUGAAAACUUCCAUCUUCUUUCUUUUUUUUGAAACGUUUAACACCGAUGACAUCUACAGUAGAUUUUAAGUUAUUUAAGAGAUCUUCCUCAGAUAUUUCAGUAGGAGCUCUUAUAACUCCCUGAGAUUCCAGCUGAUUAUUGGGUAUCCUAGCCUGAAGUUUAUGUUUCUCUAAUAAAUCUUUAU